CACGCCGUAAACGAUGGAUACUAGCUGUUGGGAGCAAUCUCAGUGGCUAAGCGAAAGUGAUAAGUAUCCCACCUGGGGAGUACGUUCGCAAGAAUGAAACUCAAAGGAAUUGACGGGGGCCCGCACAAGCGGUGGAGCAUGUGGUUUAAUUCGAUGAUACGCGAGGAACCUUACCAAGGCUUAAAUGUAGAUUGACCGUUUUGGAAACAGAACUUUCGCAAGACAAUUUACAAGGUGC
rnacentral:rRNA from 1 species